rnacentral:rRNA from 1 species
GGUUAAGAGCUGAUUAAUUGGACGUUACCCACAGAAGAAGCACCGGCUAACUCCGUGCCAGCAGCCGCGGUAAUACGGAGGGUGCGAGCGUUAAUCGGAAUUACUGGGCGUAAAGGGUGCGUAGGUGGUUGGAUAAGUUAUCUGUGAAAUCCCUGGGCUCAACCUGGGAAGGUCAGAUAAGACUGUUUGACUCGAGUAUAGGAGAGGGUAGUGGAAUUUCCGGUGUAGCGGUGAAAUGCGUAGAGAUCGGAAGGAACACCAGUGGCGAAGGCGGCUACCUGGCCUGAUACUGACACUGAAGCACGAAAGCGUGGGGAGCAAACAGGAUUAGAUACCCUGGUAGUCCACGCCGUAAACGAUGUCAACU